GCUGCCAAGAAAAUCUUCUAGCGAGGUUCGAGCCGCCCGUACCCCAAACCGACUCAGGUGGUUAGGUAGAGAAUACCAAGGCGAUCGAGUGAAUCGUGGUUAAGGAAUUCGGCAAAAUACCCCCGUAACUUCGGGAGAAGGGGGGCCCAGAGGGUGACGGGACUUGCUCCCCGAGCCUGAACGGCCGCAGAGACCAGGGAGAAGCGACUGUUUACUAAAAACACAGGUCCGUGCCAAGUCGCAAGACGAUGUAUACGGACUGACGCCUGCCCGGUGCUGGAACGUUAAGGGGACCGGUUAGCCUCACGGCGAAGCUGAGAACUUAAGCGCCAGUAAACGGCGGUGGUAACUAUAACCAUCCUAAGGUAGCGAAAUUCCUUGUCGGGUAAGUUCCGACCUGCACGAAUGGCGUAACGAUUUCUCCACUGUCUCAACCACGAACUCGGCGAAAUUGCACUACGAGUAAAGAUGCUCGUUACGCGCAGAAGGACGGAAAGACCCCGGGACCUUUACUACAGCUUGGUAUUGGUGUUCGGUACGGCUUGUGUAGGAUAGGUGGGAGACUGUGAAGCUGACACGCCAGUGUCGGUGGAGUCAACGUUGAAAUACCACUCUGGUCGUUCUGGAUAUCUAACCUAGGUCCGUGAUCCGGAUCAGGGACAGUGCCUGGUGGGUAGUUUAACUGGGGCGGUUGCCUCCUAAAAGGUAACGGAGGCGCCCAAAGGUUCCCUCAGCCUGGUUGGCAAUCAGGUUUUGAGUGUAAGUGCACAAGGGAGCUUGACUGUGAGACUGACAAGUCGAACAGGGACGAAAGUCGGGACUAGUGAUCCGGCGGUGGCUUGUGGAAGCGCCGUCGCUCAACGGAUAAAAGGUACCCCGGGGAUAACAGGCUGAUCUUGCCCAAGAGUCCAUAUCGACGGCAUGGUUUGGCACCUCGAUGUCGGCUCGUCGCAUCCUGGGGCUGGAGUAGGUCCCAAGGGUUGGGCUGUUCGCCCAUUAAAGCGGUACGCGAGCUGGGUUUAGAACGUCGUGAGACAGUUCGGUCCCUAUCCUCUGCGCGCGCAGGAAACUUGAGAAGGGCUGUCCCUAGUACGAGAGGACCGGGAUGGACGAACCUCUGGUGUGUCAGUUGUUCUGCCAAGAGCACCGCUGAUUAGCUACGUUCGGGAGUGAUAACCGCUGAAAGCAUCUAAGCGGGAAGCAUGCUUCAAGAUGAGGUUUCCAUGGGGUUUACCCCGAGAGGCUCCCAGCUAGACUACUGGGUUGAUAGGCCGGAUGUGGAAGUGCGGUAACGCAUGGAGCUGACCGGUACUAAUAAGCCGAUAACUUGAA
rnacentral:rRNA from 1 species